rnacentral:rRNA from 1 species
UUGACCUCGGAUCAGGUAGGACUACCCGCUGAACUUAAGCAUAUCAAUAAGCGGAGGAAAAGAAACCAACAGGG